rfam:Cellulomonas sp. Leaf395 contig_5, whole genome shotgun sequence.
GGUCCCAUUCCGAACCCGGAAGCUAAGCCCUUCAGCGCCGAUGGUACUGCACUCGCCAGGGUGUGGGAGAGUAGGACGCCGCCGGAC